rnacentral:piRNA from 1 species
UUCUCAGGAAGCUUGAGAACUUAAGUCCC